rnacentral:rRNA from 2 species
AGAGUUUGAUCCUGGCUCAGGACUAACGCUGGCGGCGUGCCUAAUACAUGCAAGUCGAACGGGAUUCUUUGAUCAGCUUGCUGAGAGAAGGAUCUAGUGGCGGACGGGUGAGUAACGCGUGGGAAUCUGCCUCUUACUGGGGGAUAACAGUGGGAAACUACUGCUAAUACCGCAUAAGAUCUUCGGAUGAAAGGUGCAACUGCACCGGUAAGAGAUGAGCCCGCGUCCCAUUAGCUAGUUGGUGAGGUAAAGGCUCACCAAGGCGACGAUGGGUAGCCGGCCUGAGAGGGUGAACGGCCACACUGGGACUGAGACACGGCCCAGACUCCUACGGGAGGCAGCAGUAGGGAAUCUUCCGCAAUGGGCGCAAGCCUGACGGAGCGACGCCGCGUGAGUGAUGAAGGCCUUCGGGUCGUAAAGCUCUGUUCUUGAGGACGAAUAAGCCAGGGAGUGGAAAGCCCUGGUGAUGACUGUACUCAAGGAGAAAGCUCCGGCUAACUACGUGCCAGCAGCCGCGGUAAUACGUAGGGAGCUAGCGUUGUCCGGAAUUACUGGGUGUAAAGGGCGCGCAGGCGGUUUCAUAAGUCAGGUGUGAAAGCCCGGGGCUCAACUCCGGAUAUGCACUUGAAACUGUGAGACUAGAGUGUGAGAGAGGAAAGUGGAAUUCCCGGUGUAGCGGUGAAAUGCGUAGAUAUCGGGAGGAACACCAGUGGCGAAGGCGGCUUUCUGGCUCACAACUGACGCUCAGGCGCGAAAGCUGGGGGAGCAAACAGGAUUAGAUACCCUGGUAGUCCCAGCCGUAAACGAUGGAUACUAGGUGUGGGGGGAUCGACCCCCUCCGUGCCGCAGUUAACGCAAUAAGUAUCCCACCUGGGGAGUACGGCCGCAAGGCUGAAACUCAAAGGAAUUGACGGGGGCCCGCACAAGCGGUGGAGCAUGUGGUUUAAUUCGAUGCAACGCGAAGAACCUUACCAGGGCUUGACAUCCCCUGCUACCUAUCGAAAGAUGGGGUUCUCUUCGGAGACAGGGAGACAGGUGGUGCAUGGUUGUCGUCAGCUCGUGUCGUGAGAUGUUAGGUUAAGUCCUGCAACGAGCGCAACCCCUAUCUUUAGUUGCUAACACUUCGGGUGAGCACUCUAAAGAGACUGCCGGUGAUAAACCGGAGGAAGGUGGGGACGACGUCAAAUCAUCAUGCCCUUUAUGUCCUGGGCUACACACGUGCUACAAUGGCUCAUACAGAGGGAAGCGACCUGGCGACAGGAAGCGGAUCCCUUAAAGUGGGUCACAGUUCGGAUUGCAGGCUGCAACUCGCCUGCAUGAAGUCGGAAUCGCUAGUAAUCGCAGGUCAGCAUACUGCGGUGAAUACGUUCCCGGGCCUUGUACACACCGCCCGUCACACCACGAAAGUCUGUCAUGCCCGAAGCCGGUGGCCUAACCGUAAGGAGGGAGCCGUCUAAGGCGGGACAGGUGAUUGGGGUGAAGUCGUAACAAGGUAGCCGUAUCGGAAGGUGCGGCUG